AUUGAACGCUGGCGGCAGGCCUAACACAUGCAAGUCGAACGAGUGGCGGACGGGUGUGUAAUGUCUGGGAAACUGCCUUAUGAAGGGGGAUAACUCCUGGAAACGGUAGCAAAUACCGCAUACCAUCAGAUGUGCCCAGAUGGGAUGAGCUAGUAGGUGGGGUAAGGGCUCACCUAGGCCACGAUCCCUAGCUGAUCUGAGAGGAUGACCAGCCACACGGGAACUGAGACACGGUCCAGACUCCUACGGGAGGCAGCAGUGGGGAAUAUUGCGCAAUGGGCGAAAGCCUGAUGCAGCCAUGCCGCGUGUGUGAAGAAGGCCUUCGGGUUGUAAAACACUUUUAGCGAGGAGGCGUUACUCGCAGAAGAAGCACCGGCUAACUCCGUGCCAGCAGCCGCGGUAAUUC
rnacentral:rRNA from 1 species